AACGCACGAGACCUGCGGACCUGCGGAAGGAUCAUUAAUGAGAAACUGCCCCUCGCGGGUAGAUCUCCCACCCUUUGUAAACUUACCUUUGUUGCUUUGGCAGGCCCGUCUCCGGACCGCCGGCUUCGGCUGGCCAGUGCCUGCCAGAGGAUUCUAAAACUCUGCCUGUCAGUGUUGUCUGAGUCUAUAUACAAUCGUUAAAACUUUCAACAACGGAUCUCUAGAUCGGAAGAGCACACG
rnacentral:misc_RNA from 1 species